rnacentral:rRNA from 1 species
UACGGAGGAUGCGAGCGUUAUCCGGAUUUAUUGGGUUUAAAGGGUGCGUAGGCGGUAGAUUAAGUCAGCGGUGAAAGUUUGGGGCUCAACCUUAAAAUUGCCGUUGAAACUGGUUUACUUGAGUAUAAAUGAAGUGGGCGGAAUUUGUGGUGUAGCGGUGAAAUGCAUAGAUAUCACGAGGAACUCCAAUUGCGAAGGCAGCUCACUAAGCUAUAACUGACGCUGAUGCACGAAAGCGUGGGUAUCGAAC